AAAGUUGGAUAGGGUUUCAGCAGCUCCUAUAUAUAAAGCAGGGGGGGACUUAUGUCACUGCACUAAUUAAAUUCCAUCUGGGUUGUUCCUAGGGGUGUUUUCGAGCCUGCCACCCAACUUGAGCAGGCAGAGGGGCCGAGGGACAGCAUGAUGAUGGACCUUUUCGAAACUGGCUCCUAUUUCUUCUACUUGGACGGGGAGAAUGGAGCCCUGCAGCAGCUGGAGAUGGCGGAAGGUUCCCCACUGUACCCAGGCAGCGACGGCACCUUGUCCCCCUGUCAGGACCAAAUGCCGCCGGAGGCCGGCAGCGACAGCAGUGGCGAGGAGCAUGUGCUGGCCCCCCCGGGCCUGCAGCCCCCUCACUGCCCCGGCCAGUGUUUGAUCUGGGCUUGUAAAACCUGCAAGAGAAAGUCAGCCCCCACGGACAGGAGGAAAGCGGCCACCCUGCGGGAGAGGAGGCGGCUGAAGAAGAUCAACGAAGCCUUCGAGGCGCUGAAAAGGCGGACUGUGGCCAACCCCAACCAGCGGCUGCCCAAGGUGGAGAUCCUGAGGAGCGCCAUCAGCUACAUCGAGAGGCUGCAGGACCUCCUGCACAGGCUGGAUCAGCAGGAGAAAAUGCAGGAGGUCGGGGGGGACGCCUUCAGCUUCAGCCCUAAGCAGGCAAAUGGCUCGGACUUCCUCGGCACCUGCGGCUCCGACUGGAGAAACCUCUCCGACCAUUCCCGGGCGCUGGGAGCCAGCCCCAGAGCAGGAGGCUCCGCCGUCGAGUCGUCGGCUUCCAGCAGCCUGCGCUGCCUCUCCUCCAUAGUGGACAGUAUUUCCUCCGACGAGCCCAAGCUGCCCGGCGUGGAGGAAGCGGUGGAGAAAUGAGGCAGGGCCCGCGGGGCUCGGGCCGAGGUACCGCCGCCCGCCCAGCCUGACGGAGCGGACCCCGGCGACCCGAGCCCGAAGGACUCCUCCUGACCCCCACCCACCCCCUUUUCACCCCGAGUUUUGUUUUCUUUACGCCUCGUCGCAUAGACCAGCCCCCCGCCCCCCAGUUUUUCCGUUUUUAAUUUAAGAGACUUACUGGCGUGCCGGUGAUCCGCUUUGCCCGAGGCUCACCGAAACGUCCAUUCCUGUCUGAGUGGAGCUGCCGGCUGCCUUCCGUGAUAGUGGCGUUCAGAGAGGUCCCGCCUCGUUGCGUUUCUUGUCUCUCCUCCCGGUCAUUCACUACUAACCCGAGCCUGGAGCCCGAGCCCGCCGUGCCCUCAGCCGGACGACCCCACAGAGCUCGAGCUGCGACACCGGGAGUCAGCUGCGGGGACACAUUUCCCUUCGCUCCCUCCUUUAAGGACCAUGUCUCCUCGCCCAGGACCGCCCCGGCGGUGCUAAUUACCCCCUCCUCCCCUGCCGUCUCCCCGGGGAAGCAGGGUCGGGCGCUGGGAGCCGGGGGGAAGGAGCCCCCCAGCCGCGCCGUGUGCCCCUAAACGGGCGAGGAGAGGGCACCGCUGGCUGAGAAAUUGGGGGCUUCCUCUCGCCUCGUCUGCAGCACGCUUUAUGGGCCCCGAGGGGCAGCGCCAGCUGUGACGUGAUCCGGCUUCCCCCCGGGGCCGGAGGGCCGUGAUUUCUCCCGAGGAAAGGCGACUCCCUUUGGCUUCCCUGCUCCUUGAGGGAGAGGGGUCCUUCGGGGAGGAAGGAGUUAAGCGGCGAGAGGAGGGGGGCAACAGCAGACGAAGCCUUUCACUCAGUGAUG